rnacentral:misc_RNA from 1 species
GUGAAUCAUCGAAUUUUUGAACGCAAAUUGCACUCUCUUCGGAGAGUAUGCCUGUUUGAGGGUAAGUAAAAAGAAUCUUUAACCAAUUUUUUUGGUCAAAGGAUAUGAGUUCUCCGCGUUUAUAGCGGUAUCUUGAUAUAAAUGGUCAAGUCUCAUUUUAGUCUAGACGCGUAAUAAUAUUAUUUCUCUAAAUCUUCAUUAGUUUACUAUCAAGUUUUUUCGCAUACAAAUUUAUUUUAUAUGC